GGAUAGCUCAGUUGGUUAAAGCACAGUGGUGAUAUUGCCAAGGUUGCAGGUUCAAUCCCUGUAUGAGACA